rnacentral:rRNA from 1 species
UACGAAGGGGGCUAGCGUUGUUCGGAUUUACUGGGCGUAAAGCGCGCGUAGGCGGUUUGUUAAGUCGGGGGUGAAAUCCUGGAGCUCAACUCCAGAAUUGCCUUCGAUACUGGCUUUCUAGAGGCUGGAAGAGGUUAGUGGAAUUCCCAGUGUAGAGGUGAAAUUCGUAGAUAUUGGGAAGAACACCAGUGGCGAAGGCGGCUAACUGGUCCAGAUCUGACGCUGAGGUGCGAAAGCGUGGGGAGCAAACAGG